GNAGGNUCCAAGCGNNGUCCGGAANCACUGGGUGUAAAGGGAGCGCAGGCGGGAGAACAAGUNGGAAGNGAAAUCCAUGGGCNCAACCCANGAACNGCUUUCAAAACNGUUUUUCUNGAGUACAGUCGAGGUAGGCGGAAUUCGUGGUGUAGCGGUGAAANGCUUAGAUAUCACGAAGAACUUCCAUNGCGAAGGCAGCUUACUAACCUGUAACUGACAUUGAUGCUCGAAAGUGUGGGUAUCAAACAGGAUNAGAUACCCUGGUAGUCCACACGGUAAACGAUGAAUACUCGCUGUAGGCGAUAUACAGUCUGCAGCCAAGCGAAAGCAUCAAGUAUUCCACCUGGGGAGU
rnacentral:rRNA from 1 species